GGGGGUAUAGCUCAGUGGUAGAGUGUUUAACUGUGAUUUAAGUGGUCCUUGGUUCAAAUCCAAGUGCUUUCU